rnacentral:rRNA from 1 species
AACGCGAAGAACCUUACCUGGGCUCGAAAUGCAGUGGAAGACGGUUGAAAGAUCGUUGCCCGCAAGGGCCGCUGUAUAGGUGCUGCAUGGCUGUCGUCAGCUCGUGUCGUGAGAUGUUGGGUUAAGUCCCGCAACGAGCGCAACCCUUAUCUUUAGUUGCCAUGUGUCGUCGAAAGGCGGCGCGGAACUCUAAAGAGACAGCCGGCCACAAGCCGGAGGAAGGUGGGGAUGACGUCAAGUCCUCAUGGCCUUUAUGUCCAGGGCUACACACGUGCUACAAUGGGCGGUACAAAGCGUCGCAAACCCGCGAGGGGGAGCCAAUCGCAAAAAACCGCUCUCAGUUCGGAUUGCAGUCUGCAACUCGGCUGCAUGAAGCUGGAAUCGCUAGUAAUCGCGGAUCAGCACGCCGCGGUGAAUACGUUCCCGGGCCUUGUACACACCGGUAUCUC